UCUAUGUGUUGUUGAGUUAGAAUCUCACUCGAGAUCCGUUUGAUAUAUGUCCUAGGUCCGAUAAGGAGACCUAAUAGCGGACAAGGAGCUCAGGGAGCUUACGCUAUAAUAAGCAAAGAUUUUGGAUAAGCAAGUUUGUAUGUUGCAGGUGUAUGGUCUAUGACACGACAUACUUCUACCCUAGUUCCAGAAGUCUUUGUGUACAAGAAGAAGGAGUUAACCAAUAGUGCUGCAGUAGGAUCGAGUCCUAGCAUAUGUAUGUUUGUUUGUCAAACGAUUUUUGUGUAUGAUAUAACUCUGAUUGUAAAAGUGUUUUGAGACUUCCGCUAUAAAACUGUUUUCUUUGUUUUGAGAAUGGGCUAUGCUAGGAUGUGGGACAUCGCAGGGUAAGGCCCAAGUUCCUAUGGAACGCUUUGUGUUUUGAAACAGACGUUUGUACACGUCAAAGCUCAAGAAGCUUUUAAUGAAUUUGAUUUCUUUA